ensembl:lncRNA
GUAGUGAAUAGGAGUGGGUAUAAGUAGUGAAUAGUGGUGGGUAUAAGUAGUGAAUAGGAGUGGGUAUGAGAAGUGAAUAGGAGUGGGUAUAAGUAGUGAAUAGUGGUGGGUAUAAGUAGUGAAUAGGAGUGGGUAUAAGUAGUGAAUAGUGGUGGGUAUAGGUAGUGAAUAGGAGUGGGUAUAAGUAGUGAAUAGGAGUGGGUAUAGGUAGUGAAUAGGAGUGGGUAUAAGUAGUGAAUAGGAGUGGGUAUAAGCAGCGAAUAGGAGUGGGUAUAAGUAGUGGAUAUGAGUGGGUUUAAGUAGUGAAUAGGAGUGGGUAUAUGUAGUGAAUAGGAGUGGGUAUAAGUAGUGAAUAGUAGUGGUUACCAGCAGUGAGUGGGUAUAAGUAGUGAAUAGGACUGGGUAAAAGUAGUGAAUAGUAGUGGGUAUCAGCAGUGAAUAGGAGUGGGUAUAAGUAGUGAAUAGGAGUGGGUAUAAGUAGUGAAUAGGAGUGGGUAUCAGCAGUGAACAGGAGUGGGUAUAGGUAGUGAAUAGGAGUGGGCAUAAGUAGUGAAUAGGAGUGGGUAUAAGUAGUGAAUAGGAGUGGGUAUAUGUAGUGAAUAGGAGUGGAAAUAUGUAGUGAAUAGUUG